UUUUUAAAAACUUGAAUUUGUUUUCGAUUUGUUACGUACUGAUAUGAAAGUGAAAGUAGAAACCUUGUAUGUCAGUUGGCGUUAUGUAUGUUGAGAUCGUUAUCAAGCCCGGAUUCCUUCUUAAACUUAAUGACAAAUGUUUGUUUUUAUGGCCUAUAGAUGCAUUUGGCAACUUGAGUUCAGUGUCACAGUGCUGUUUUUUUUUCAGUCCAAAGAGCCCGAAGCUGAUAAGACUGGCGAUUGAUCCUGAAGCUGAUUUGACAGACGAUUGCAUCAUCACAAUAUUGAAGGUUCAAUAUACAGUCAGCCUCUCAUAAGAUAAAGAACAAAUGCCAAGAUCCAAGGCUUGCUUCAAAGUUAAGAGACUAUUCAGUGCCGCAAAGAAAUUGUUCAGGAAAAGGAGAAGUGGUGGAUAUUCAUUUUUGGUACGGUACAGUUCAAAGAGAUUUUCAAAAUGGUCAUGGAAGAUCAAAGGGAGGACAACUGAAAAAACUGAAAGAUACAGAAGGAAAAAGAGCAAGGAAAUAUAUGGAAUAAUUAUGAAAUGGGGAGGAUGUACACAAUCUUGUCUGAAUUUGGCCUGUGAAGAUUUCCCAUAUUGUAUGCUGGAAUAAUCAAUAACUUGAUUUUUCAUAAAUUUACAAUAGAGAAUACAUGACAAAUGUUAUUGCUGAUAUUUAAAUGUUGCGUUGGACACUUUCAUGUCAUAUGGUAUUUUUAUACAUUACCUAAUUAUGUUAUUCAUUUGUACAUGUACAGUAUACAUGUUUAACUACUAAAUCAUUUUGCUGAAAUCUUAUAAUUUGUACUCAUGUUAGAAUAUGUUUAAUACAUGUAUCGACAAAUGCUACUGACUUGUUUGUAUAUUUUCUUGUUUAGAAUGUACACUGUGAAAAAUAAGUUAUUUCUCUUGAUGAAAAUAAUUUUAUCAAAAAAGUUGUGUAAGCAUUUUAAGAUAUUUUAAAAUAUUUAACCAAUGAAGAUAGAUCAUUGUAAUGUAAUGAAUUUUCAUCUAAAGCAGAAAUAUCUGAUUUUUAAAUGUGUACAAGAAUGUGAAAAAUAUUG